UACGGAGGGUGCGAGCGUUAAUCGGAAUAACUGGGCGUAAAGCGCACGCAGGCGGGCUGUCAAGUGGGGUGUGAAAUCCCCGGGCUGAACCUGGGAACUGCAUUCGAAGCUGGCAGGCUAGAGUCGUGUAGGGGGGGGUAGAAUUCCAGGUGUAGCGGUGAAAUGCGUAGAGAUCUGGAGGAAUACCGGUGGCGAAGGCGGCCCCGUGGACAAAGACUGACGCUCAGGUGCGAAAGCGUGGGGAGCAAACAGG
rnacentral:rRNA from 1 species